rnacentral:rRNA from 1 species
GUCCACGCCCUAAACGAUGUCAACUGGGUGUUGGGGGAGCGAUUCCUCAGUACCGUAGCUAACGCGUGAAGUUGACCGCCUGGGGAGUACGGCCGCAAGGUUAAAACUCAAAGGAAUUGACGGGGACCCGCACAAGCGGUGGAUGAUGUGGAUUAAUUCGAUGCAACGCGAACAACCUUACCUACCCUUGACAUGUCCGGAAGCUCGCUGAGAGGUGAGUGUGCCCGAAAGGGAAUCGGAACACAGGUGCUGCAUGGCUGUCGU